UACGUAGGGUGCGAGCGUUAAUCGGAAUUACUGGGCGUAAAGCGUGCGUAGGCGGUUUCGCAAGUCCGCUGUGAAAGCCCCGGGCUCAACCUGGGAAUGGCAGUGGAAACUAGGAGACUUGAAUCUGGCAGAGGGGGGUGGAAUGCCACGUGUAGCAGUGAAAUGCGUAGAGAUGUGGCGGAACACCGAUGGCGAAGGCAGCCUCCUGGGCCAAUACUGACGCUCAUGCACGAAAGCGUGGGGAGCAAACAGG
rnacentral:rRNA from 1 species